GACGAACGCUGGCGGCGUGCUUAACACAUGCAAGUCGAACGGAAAGGCCCUGCUUUUGUGGGGUGCUCGAGUGGCGAACGGGUGAGUAACACGUGAGUAACCUGCCCUUGACUUUGGGAUAACUUCAGGAAACUGGGGCUAAUACCGGAUAGGAGCUCCUGCUGCGUGGUGGGGGUUGGAAAGUUUCGGCGGUUGGGGUUGGACUCGCGGCUUAUCAGCUUGUUGGUGGGGUAGUGGCUUACCAAGGCUUUGACGGGUAGCCGGCCUGAGAGGGUGACCGGCCACAUUGGGACUGAGAUACGGCCCAGACUCCUACGGGAGGCAGAAGUGGGGAAUAUUGCACAAUGGGCGGAAGCCUGAUGCAGCAACGCCGCGUGCGGGAUGACGGCCUUCGGGUUGUAAACCGCUUUCGCCUGUGACGAAGCGUGAGUGACGGUAAUGGAUAAAGAAGCACCGGCUAACUACGUG
rnacentral:rRNA from 1 species